AUUGAACGCUGGCGGCAGGCCUAACACAUGCAAGUCGAGCGGAUGAAGGGAGCUUGCGCCGGGAUUCAGAGGGGGACGGGGGAGGAAUGCCGAGGAAACUGCGUGGUAGUGGGGGAGAACGUCCGGAAAAGGGGGGUAAUACCGCAGACGUGCUGAGGGGGAGAGUGGGGGAGCUUGGGAACUCACGCUAGCAGAGGAGGCUAGGGCGGAUUAGCUAGUUGGUGGGGGAAAGGCCGACCAAGGAGACGAUCCGGAACUGGUCUGAGAGGAUGAUCAGUCACCCUGGAACUGAGCCACCGUCCAUGCUCCUACGGGAGGCAGCAGUCUGGAAUAUUGGACAAUGGGCGAAAGCCUGAUCCAGUCAUGCCGCGUGUGUGAAGAAGGUCUUCGGAUUGUAAAGCCCUUUAAGUUGGGAGGAAGGGCAGUAAGUUAAUACCUUGCUGUUUUGACGUUACCAACAGAAUAAGCACCGGCUAACUUCGUG
rnacentral:rRNA from 1 species